AUUGAACGCUGGCGGCAGGCUUAACACAUGCAAGUCGAGCGGAGAUGAGGUGCUUGCACCUUAUCUUAGCGGCGGACGGGUGAGUAAUGCUUAGGAAUCUGCCUAUUAGUGGGGGACAACAUUCCGAAAGGAAUGCUAAUACCGCAUACGCCCUACGGGGAAAGCAGGGGAUCUUCGGACCUUGCGCUAAUAGAUGAGCCUAAGUCGGAUUAGCUAGUCGGUGGGGUAAAGGCCUACCAAGGCGGCGAUCUGCAGCGGGUCUGCGGGGAUGAUCCACCACACUGAGACUGAGACACGGCCCGGACUCCUACGGGAGGCAGAAGUGGUGAAUGUUGGACAAUUGUCGGAAGCCUGAUCCAGCCAUGCCGCGUGUGUGAAGAAGGCCUUUUGGUUGUAAAGCACUUUAAGCGAGGAGGAGGCUACCUGGAUUAAUACUCUAGGAUAGUGGACGUUACUCGCAGAAUCAGCACCGGCUAACUCUGUGCCAGCCGCCGCGGUAACAC
rnacentral:rRNA from 1 species